UACGAAGGGGGCUAGCGUUGCUCGGAAUCACUGGGCGUAAAGGGUGCGUAGGCGGCUUCCUAAGUUUGAUGUGAAAUCCUGGGGCUCAACCCUGGAACUGCAUUGAAUACUGGGAGGCUAGAGUACUGGAGAGGAAACUGGAAUUUACGGUGUAGCAGUGAAAUGCGUAGAGAUCGUAAGGAAGACCAGUGGCGAAGGCGAGUUUCUGGACAGU
rnacentral:rRNA from 1 species